AACGAACGCUGGCGGCGUGCCUAAUACAUGCAAGUCGAGCGAAUGGAUUAAGAGCUUGCUCUUAUGAAGUUAGCGGCGGACGGGUGAGUAACACGUGGGUAACCUGCCCAUAAGACUGGGAUAACUCCGGGAAACCGGGGCUAAUACCGGAUAACAUUUUGAACCGCAUGGUUCGAAAUUGAAAGGCGGCUUCGGCUGUCACUUAUGGAUGGACCCGCGUCGCAUUAGGUAGUUGGUGAGGUAACGGCUCACCAAGGCAACGAUGCGUAGCCGACCUGAGAGGGUGAUCGGCCACACUGGGACUGAGACACGUCCCAGACUCCUACGGGAGGCAGCAGUAGGGAAUCUUCCGCAAUGGACGAAAGUCUGACGGAGCUACGCCGCGUGAGUGAUGAAGGCUUUCGGGUCGUAAAACUCUGUUGUUAGGGAAGAACAAGUGCUAGUUGAAUAAGCUGGCACCUUGACGGUACCUAACCAGAAAGCCACGGCUAACUACGUGCCAGCAGCCGCAGUAA
rnacentral:rRNA from 1 species